GAUGAACGCUAGCUACAGGCUUAACACAUGCAAGUCGAGGGGAAACGAUAGAGAAAGCUUGCUUUUUCUAGACGUCGACCGGCGCACGGGUGAGUAACGCGCAUCCAACCUGCCCAUCACUUGGGGAUAACCUUGCGAAAGUAAGACUAAUACCCAAUGACGUCCAUAGAAGACAUCUGAAAGGGAUUAAAGAAUUAUCGGUGAUGGAUGGGGAUGCGUCUGAUUAGCUUGUUGGAGGGGUAACGGCCCACCAAGGCGACGAUCAGUAGGGGUUCUAAGAGGAAGGUCCCCCACAUUGGAACUGAGACACGGUCCAAACUCCUACGGGAGGCAGCAGUGAGGAAUAUUGGUCAAUGGUCGAUAGCCUGAACCAGCCAAGUAGCGUGCAGGAUGACGGCCCUAUGGGUUGUAAACUGCUUUUAUAAGGGAAUAAAGUGAGCCUCGUGAGGCUUUUUGCAUGUACCUUAUGAAUAAGGACCGGCUAAUUCCGUGCCAGCAGCCGCCGUAA
rnacentral:rRNA from 1 species